rnacentral:lncRNA from 1 species
UAAUAACAAAACAAUGCACAAAGCUUAGGAUUGCUAUGUACGAACCGCUGGAGCCUCAUCGUUGUGGUCAUUAAGUUGCCGCGAGAUUACAGAGGAUUGGCCAACCCUCAAACCACUCUGGUCCUAUAGCUUCGUCACAAACACGCCUUUGAGAACCGCAAAUUAGCACACACAACAUCGAAGUCUCAUGACGGCUCAAACAGAUGCAAUCGGAGCAAACGUCUCGGCCCGGUUGAAACCGGAGGUCCGGAUAAAGGUGAAGUUGUAUGCCUCCGCCACACCGAUCUAGCCAAAACAUUUGCCGCACAGUUAGCUAAUCCGUGCUACCCCAUGAAACAUUCACUCAUCUGUCGAAUACCACUGUAAGAAAAAGAGUUGAUGCUCACACUAAGCGUUGAUUGACUGUUGCGCUUCUCGUCGAAAGCUCAUGCGCAUCACUCCUACAAGACACUGCUCUUAUUCAGUAAGGGAGUAGAAGGUAGAGUUUACCACACCAUCGGACUUGCCCAAUGAAGAGGAGCCUCAUUCCCGUAAAAGAUGCAUCUGAGCAGCGCAUCUGCUCACGGAAGAAGAAGCAAGUGUGACGCCACCAGUUAUCUGCACGCGCCUAGAUAACCACACACCACUGCAAUACUGCAGAUCUUCAUCUUCAGCACAGCCAACAGAGACAAAAGAGACCAAACCACCAUCUCAAUCACUGCUUCAUAGCCCAGAUCCGGUACGGAGGUUAACCCCAAGGAACAAACGUCACUUCCCUAACCAAGCUCCGAACACCGGCUGACUAACGAUAGCCCCCGC